GCACCCGUAGCUCAGAUGGAUAGAGCGUUAGACUCCGACUCUAAAGGCCGCAGGUUCGACUCCUGUCGGGUGUACCA
rnacentral:tRNA from 1 species